ACAGCCGGACCCCUGCAGAACCGCUACAGCCGACGCAUAAUAACAAAGAGUCCCUUUAAACUGGAGCAGAAUUUUUCUCCUUGUCACCGGCAAUAAUUAUUCCGCUCAACGCCGGGUCCUUUGUCUCCCUGUGCAGCGCGAGGGAAACAAAGAGCCGGAGCGAUGGAGGGAAUCGUAAGCGCCACUGGGAUGCAGGAAAAGUUCAGCAGCCCGGAACCAGGUGGUUGUUUGGGAACAAAGUGCCAGGACCGUUCAUAGCAGCAAUACCUCACCGCGGCAGCACACACUGUAUCUCUGGGCUGCAAGAGGUGGUGUAGGAAUACCUGGAGGAGCAAAGCGGGUCUGCUUAUGGAGCAAACAUCUUUCUCAGCAGCCUCUGGCAGGCAGAGCAGCUCCAGUCGCCCCUAGCUCCUGCCUCCCUUCACCUGCGAUGCUGGGAACUUAUUUUCUGGGAAAACAGCUUGUUUCUUGGGUUGUCUUUUUGUCCUUUUGCCAGCAAGAUUAUAUUUUUACUUUAUACCUAAUGACCAUUUUGUUCUUUCUUUCUGCAAUUUCUCAGUAUCUGUAGGUGAGAGAAAUAUGUU